rnacentral:rRNA from 1 species
AACUUAAGCUAUCCAUAACCGGAGAAAAA